rnacentral:tRNA from 1 species
GGAGUAGCAGCUCAGUGGUUAGAGCGUCCGACUGUCCACCACUAAGUAGUAGGUUCGAACCCCAUCUACCUUG